AUUGAACGCUGGCGGCAUGCUUUACACAUGCAAGUCGAACGGUAACAGGCCGCAAGGUGCUGACGAGUGGCGAACGGGUGAGUAAUGCAUCGGAACGUGCCCAGUCGUGGGGGAUAACGCAGCGAAAGCUGCGCUAAUACCGCAUACGAUCUAUGGAUGAAAGCGGGGGACCGUAAGGCCUGGCGCGAUUGGAGCGGCCGAUGUCAGAUGAGGGAGCUGGGGGGGGAAAGGCGCACUAAGCCAACGAUCUGUAGCUGGUCUGAGAGGACGACCAGCGACACUGGGACUGAGACACGGCACAGACUCCUACGGGAGGCAGCAGUGUGGAAUUUUGGACAAUGGGCGCAAGCCUGAUCCAGCAAUGCCGCGUGCAGGAAGAAGGCCUUCGGGUUGUAAACUGCUUUUGUACGGAACGAAACGGUCCUGGUUAAUACCUGGGGCUAAUGACGGUACCGUAAGAAUAAGCACCGGCUAACUGCGUGCCAGCCGCCGCGGUAAUAC
rnacentral:rRNA from 1 species